AAUCAUACGCGGUUGACCUAUU
rnacentral:miRNA from 2 species